UGAGGGCUAGUCCAAAGUAAGACCUCUGAUUUCGGCUCAGAAAAUCGUGGCUCACCUCCACGGCCCCCAU
rnacentral:tRNA from 1 species